rnacentral:rRNA from 1 species
AUUGAACGCUGGCGGCAGGCCUAACACAUGCAAGUCGAACGAGUGGCGGACGGGUGAGUAAUGUCUGGGAAUCUGCCUGAUGGAGGGGGAUCACUACUGGAAACGGUAGCUAAUACCGCAUACCCUCAGAUGUGCCCAGCUGGGAUUAGCUAGUAGGUGGGGUAACGGCUCACCUAGGCAACGAUCCCUAGCUGGUCUGAGAGGAUGACCAGCCACACUGGAACUGGGACACGGUCCAGACUCCUACGGGAGGCAGCAGUGGGGAAUCUUGCACAAUGGGCGAAAGCCUGAUGCAGCCAUGCCGCGUGGAUGAAGAAGGCCUUCGGGUUGUAAAGUACUUUCAGCGGGGAGGCGUUACCCGCAGAAGAAGCACCGGCUAACUCCGUGCCAGCAGCCGCGGUAAUAC